GCCUUUGUGGUGUAGUGGUCAGUACGCUCGACGCGUAACCGAGUGGUCCAUGGUUCGAUUCUUGGUGAAGGCG
rfam:Stegodyphus mimosarum contig112134, whole genome shotgun sequence.